AACGAACGCUGGCGGCAGGCCUAACACAUGCAAGUCGAACGCACCGCAAGGUGAGUGGCGCACGGGUGAGUAACACGUGGGAAUGUACCCUUUGGUUCGGAAUAACGUUUGGAAACGAACGCUAAUACCGGAUGAGCCCUACGGGGGAAAGAUUUAUCGCCAAAGGAGCAGCCCGCGUCUGAUUAGCUAGUUGGUGGGGUAAAGGCCUACCAAGGCGACGAUCAGUAGCUGGUCUGAGAGGAUGAUCAGCCACACUGGGACUGAGACACGGCCCAGACUCCUACGGGAGGCAGCAGUGGGGAAUAUUGGACAAUGGGCGCAAGCCUGAUCCAGCCAUGCCGCGUGAGUGAUGAAGGCCUUCGGGUUGUAAAGCUCUUUCGCACGCGACGAUGAUGACGGUAGCGUGAGAAGAAGCCCCGGCUAACUUCGUGCCAGCAGCCGCCGUAACAC
rnacentral:rRNA from 1 species